CGGCACUGACGUAGCAUCGUACAACACGGUGUGACGACCGUAGCAUAAUGCGAUACCGAGCUAACUGGGCUCAAACACAGAGAGCGAACGAAGAAGAAGGGACGGUACGGAAACCGAUGGACACACAAGUGGCAGUAAAUCGUAGCGUGAAAGGAGAGGUUGAAGAAGCAAGAAGGAUGACGAGGGUAUACGGCCAAGAGACAUUUCGGUAAGAAUAAAAGAGAAAGGAAAUCAUUGGAAGGGAUAACAAAAAGUCACGUCGAUCGGAGAAGGAAGGGGAGAACGGGACAGCGGUAAAAUGCAGGUAAGAGGCAGGUCGUGACACCGGUUAGUCGGAGAGACUAGAAACGCAACGAGUGAUUUCAAAAAGCUCAAAGUCGAAGGAGAAGGCGAGACGAUGGGAAAGUGCGUGACAAUACUAUACUUAACAUAUCUACUCCUUCGACCCACGAUCGAAUAACUGUGUACACUUCGUGAAGAAUGAAAUUGAAUUUAUAUUUCCGGAUUUCUCUUGGGUAUCACGAAAAUAAAAUGGAGAAGGCGUUAGAACCGUAUGUUAAUAUUUGCAUACUUUAUAUUUGUCAUGAAGAAGUAAAAAAGGAAGAAGAAUAUUUCUCUUUUUCUCUUUCAUAUUCUUUUUCAAAAGAUUUGCAAAACAUUUGCCAAAGGUUUGUUGAUUUAUCGGACACAUGAUAUGUUAUUUCUUAUUCGCUCGUAUUUUCAGCAUAAGUGUUCGUGGAAGAUAGAACGUCCGAGAGCGGAGAGAAAUGAAGAAAGAAAAAUGUAG